rnacentral:rRNA from 1 species
CCUACGGGAGGCAGCAGUGAGGAAUAUUGGUCAAUGGGCGGAAGCCUGAACCAGCCAAGUAGCGUGCGGGAUGAAGGCCCUACGGGUCGUAAACCGCUUUUGCACGGGGAUAACACCCUCCACUUGUGGAGGUCUGCAGGUACCGUGCGAAUAAGGGCCGGCUAAUUCCGUGCCAGCAGCCGCGGUAAUACGGAGGGCCCGAGCGUUAUCCGGAUUCAUUGGGGUUAAAGGGAGCGUAGGCGGGCGUUCAAGUCAGCUGUAAAAUCGCGGGGCUCAACCGCGACCCGAAGUUGAAACUGGAAGCCUUGAGUUCACAACAGGCAGGCGGAAUUCGUGGUGUAGCGGUGAAAUGCAUAGAUAUCACGAGGAACCCCGAUUGCGAAGGCAGCCUGCCGGGGUGCGACUGACGCUGAGGCUCGAAGGUGCGGGUAUCAAACAGGAUUAGAUACCCCUGUAGUC